AGUUCAUUGCAUAUAGGAAGAAACAGAGGCCCAGAAAUGUUAUGUGACUUAAAUAGUUGCAGAGCUAAGAUCAGAACUCAGGUUUCCGUUAAUGUGGAGUUUUUUUUUAUGGUAUAAUCUGCUACAUCUACCAUAAAAGAGUCUUGAUCCCCAUAGCUUUAAGGCACAGAUUUCCCAACUCUCCUGAUAGUAUCAGCUGUGAUGCUUUGUAAAACACUGAUUCUUGGGACCACCCAUGGAAGAUUACUUGUCCAUGGUAUCUGAGAGUGGGUCAAAGAAAACUGUAUUAUUAAAAGGUACUCCGAUAAAAAAAAAAUAUUUUAAAGAAAAUAAAAAGGU